UGUGAAAAUUAUGAUUCAAGGAAUCUAAAAUGAUUUGAAGUUAAGAUGCCAUCCAUGGCCUGAUUCACA